UACGUAGGUGGCAAGCGUUGUCCGGAUUUACUGGGCGUAAAGAGCGCGCAGGCGGUCGUAUAAGUCGAAUGUGAAAGCCCCCGGCUCAACUGGGGAGGGUCAUUCGAUACUGUUCGACUCGAAGGCAGGAGAGGGAAGUGGAAUUCCGGGUGUAGUGGUGAAAUGCGUAGAUAUCCGGAGGAACACCAGUGGCGAAGGCGACUUUCUGGCCUGUUCUUGACGCUGAGGCGCGAAAGCUAGGGGAGCAAACGGGG
rnacentral:rRNA from 1 species